GAUGUUGUCCUAGAGGUAUAUUGUGGACCUCUGGAAGUUUCGGAUUUGAAAUCUGAAUUGCAGAUCAUCCGGAUCGAACUACGUAGUGACGUGUCUUAUAUAAGUUAUGUAUUCUAUCGGCAGGAUUUCUGAGGUUGGGUUUGAUUAUUGUUCUAGGCGCUAAUCUUCAUGACGCCUUGAUGUGUGGUGCUAGGGAGUUGUUGAGCGAACUCCAGGUGAGUGGGCAGUUUUUUGUUUUCGUAUUACCUUUAUACUAUAAAUUUUUUCCCAGAAGAUGAAUUUAUACGAAAUUAUGUUUUGAAAAUGCCAUGCAUAGAAUUAUUUGGAAAAGGUGAAUUUCACAUGAGUUAUAUGAUUGAUAUAUGAUGCAUACAUGUUGCAUGGUGCUGUGGAGGCACAGGUAAGUCAGGUGAGUUCAUUAUUCAUUUAAUUGAUUGUUGAUAAGAUGUUUCAAGCUCAUAAACCUGCACCCUAGGUGUUAGUGCUUAUUUUAUUCACCACACCGCACGCUCGCCUUGGAUCCAAGUAGGUGGAUGUCGUACAGACCAUGUGAGGGUUCCGACAUGCUAGUCGUAUAGAUCACUAGGCGUGAUUCCGACUAGUGGGUGAUCUUAGUUAUGCGCGCUGAUGAUUGAUGAGAGAAGCACUAGAGCGUAUUUUUACACCUUUCAUCGUACAGACUACCUUACGUAGUUCCGAGUGAUGUGCAGAGUAGGGCCGUAUAGGUCACUGUGGUGACUCCGGCUUAGUGAGAUAUUGAGCUAUUGAAUUAAUCGUAUAGGACCAACUGCAGGGUCUCCGAUUGAUUCCUUAUUUCACCUGAUUUAUAUUUUGAUUUAUGGCAUGGCAUGUUUUUCUUGAAAAAUGUUAAAGAUUUGGGAUUCAAGUUUUGAGAUUUCAUAUGGUUAUAUAUAUAUAUUUUUCUGAAAAGUGUUAAAGGUUUGAGAUUUGAGAUUUUUGCUUAUAUAUAUGUUUAUAUAUAUGCUAUUUUCUGGGAAAGUAUACAGGUUUUACGGUGAGGGGUUAGAAAUAUUUUAAAUGAAAAGUUUUCGAAAAACUUUGUUUUACUGACCCACUCAAUUUUGUUUUGCGCCCCUCCAGGUUCAAGUUAGCAGAGCUUUGGUGGCCACGAGGAAUCCAACGGUGUUCUGACAGAAUUCACAAAAGUAGGACUCACCCUCGGGUGUGUCAUCUUAGUAAUUGGAAAUUUUUUUUAAAGCUUCUGAACUAUGUAAAUGGUUACGUCACUCUCACGUGACGGCCAGCACGCCCUCCUUCGGGACGGGGUGUGUCAGUUGGUAUCAGAGCCUAGGUUGCAAUUCUGGACAUCUUGAGAAUUUCCUAGUGUCUUCUGUCAGAACUAUACCGCCUCAUAGCGAGCCACGUAGUUCGGAUGAGCCUAAAUUCCCUGAUAUAGUAGUUUGGGGGGAAAUUAUUGUCACUAUGAUUCAGUCUAUUAUCUAAAGGAACCUUUGAGACUGAUUAUAAGUUAAAUUUGAAUACAGACUUGCCUUGUUUCCAUUCGGGAUGUUGUUACUAAUCCGGUCGAGGUGUUAUGUCGUUUUUGGCGGGAUAAUAAGAAGAAGUGACGUUCUUUGGCGACCACAAUCCAUUGUACUUUUUUACCAGGAGUUUACGAGAUGUUGUUGGGCUUUGAGGACUUUGAGAAUAUGAUCAGCGAGAGUAAAGAAGAAUAAGAAAAGAAUGGUAAUUAGAGGAAAGGUGAGAAAGUUAAAGAUCCGUCAUAUCAAGGACGUCGAAAGACUCAGAGCUUCAAAAGAAGUGAAGUUAGAACUAAUUCUUCCAACUGAGGUUUUAGUGCCACUGGUCCGAGGCGAAGUGAUAGAUUUACGGGUGAUCCCAGAUCUUAAAGACAAGGGGUGACUCGAGUAAGGGAAAUGUACCUUUGUGCCAUAGGUAUAAUAUUAGACACUUUGGAGAGUGUGGGAAUCAGUGAAUGUGUUCAUGUGGAUGGAUGGGACAUAGAGGUAUGAAUUGUCCCUGGAAUCAGUUGUUACCCAAUAGUCUUCCUUAACAUAUCACUUGGAAAUAUUGACGAGUAAGUCGUACAGGUCACUAUAUGUGACUCCGACUUAUGUGCUAGCAUGGAUGGUCGAGUUGUAGACUCAGUCGUACAGGUCAUUCUAGCUGACUCCGGCUGAUAUAUUUCUUAUUAUGGUCGAUGUUGCCAAAGAAAGUAAUGUUGGAGCACGAUCGAGGCGUAUUUAUGUAUUUCUAAGGAAGAACAAGAUGAUAAUAUUACACCCCUCAGGAAUUGUUACUUAGUUAUCGAGACAACAGUGAGUUAUUUGUAUUGCGGGCUGCAGACCGUAAUAUUUAUAACUUAUUUGUUGGAUUCGUUAAGUAAGUAAACAAGUAAGGCACUUUAUGUUGAUUUGGUUUAUUAAGGGUGUCCAGUGAUGGUGAAAAAUGUCAUGUCAGUGAAUUUUAUUCCGUUGGAUAUUAUGGAUUUUGAGGUGAUUUUUUUUGGCACCAGUGCGUGCAGUAUAAUUGUGUCAAGCUAGAUUGCUAUGGGGAAUCAGUUAAUUUUUGUUGACCUGGAUGACCAGAGGUUACUUUUAGGGGUAAGUAAAGUGGAGUGAGUUAUGCCAUUAUUCCUGUUGAGAGAGCAAAGAAGAUUGUUAUCAAAAGGCUGCCAAGAUAUUGAGUUCAUAUGGUGCUAAAUGAUGUUGAUCCUAAUAGUAUGGAAGAUGUAAAGAUGGUUAGACAUUUUCUUGGUGUAUUCCCAGAUGACUUACCUAGAUUGCCGCCAGGCAGAGAUGUGGGUUCCAUUAUUGAAUUGUUUUUAGGUACAAAUCCUAUGUUAGAAAUUGGUUCAGGUUGAGUUAAAAGUUCCAUUCAACUUAUUAUAUCACAUUGGAAAAGCUCCGGUUUAUUUGUGAGGAAGAAAGUGGACAUUAAGGCUAGGCAUUGAUAUUAGGUAAUUGAAUCGGGUAACGAUUGAGAGCUGUUAUCCAUUGUUGUGUAUUAAUGAUUAUUUGAUCAGCUCUGAGGCGCCUGGGUACUUUCUGAGACUGACUUGAGGUCUGAAUGAUAUUAGUUGAAGAUUAACAGUGGGGAUGUCCAUAAGACUGAAUCCAGGACUCGUUAUGGUCAUUUCAAGUUGGGAUGCCAUACGGAGUGACGAAUGCACCUACUAUUUUUAUGAGCUUACUGAAGGAAGUAUUCCAGUGAUAUCUAGAUCGGUUUGUUGUUGUUGCCAUUGACGAGAUUGAUAAGAUUAGAGCAGUGCAUGCUAGAUAUUUUAAAGUUGGGUGUUGCAAAGAUUGAAGGAACGUUGAUGUAUGCUAAGUUUAGCAAAUGCUAAUGUUGGAUAAAUUAAUUAUAUCUACUUAAGGUAUUCAAGUGGAUUCUUAAAAGAGUAGCAACGAUUGAGAAUUUGGAACAAUUGCGAACCGUGACUGAGGUUUAGAGUUUUCUCGGAUUAGCAGGAUAUUGUCGAUAGUUCGUCCAAGAUUUUAAUUAUUGCUUCGCCCUUGGCGAGAUUGAUGAGAAAAGAGGUUAAGUUUGAGUGGGAUGAAAAAUUGUGAGUAGAGCUUCAGCAAGUAAAGUAUUCCCUCACUCAUGCAUCUGUUUUCGCACUCCCAAACGAUAGUGGUAAUUACGUAGUCUAUAGUAAUACUUCUUUGAAUGUUCUUGAAUGCGCGUUGAUGCAACAUGGUAGGAUGAUUGCCUAUGCUUCAUGGCCAUUGGGAUCUCAUAAGAUGAAUUACCCUAAUUAUAAUUUGGAAUUAGCAGCUAUCAUCUUUGCUUUGAGAAUUUGGAGACAUUGUCUUUAUGGGAAGAAAAGUGCAUGAUUGUUACAAAUCAAAAGAGUACCCAAUAUCUGUUUAUUCAGAGGUAUCUUAAUCUUAGGCAACAAAGGUGGAAUGAGUUGCUUAGUGAUUAUGAUUGUGUGACGAGGGUGGUCAAGCUAAUGUUGUGGCUGAUGCAUUUAGUAGGAAGACCCCAGUGAGAAUUAAUGCUUGGUAUGCUUGCUAUGUUCAUCUUCUUGUGGAUUUGAAAUCUACUGGAGUAAAGUUGAGUAUCAAAAAUCGAGAAGAAGCCUUACUUGCUAAUUUCUAAGUUGGACCCAUUUGGUAGAUCGUACUCGAUACUCAAGCGUUUGACGAAGAAAUUCAAGAAUUUAUUUAAAGCAAGGAAUAACGGGAUAAAGAAGGACCUUAGAGUUAGAGAAUCAGAUGGCAAGCUUAUGCAAGGGAACAAAGUGUUUAUGCCUAAUGGUGUGGAAUUAAAUAAAGCAAUUUUGACGAUGUACAUUAUUCCACUUCUACAAUGCAUCCCAAAAGUACUAAGAUUUAUCAUACCAUUCGUUCAUGUACUAUUGACGGGUAUGAAAAGAGGAACGGCGAAGUAUGUUAGUAGGCGUAUCAUCAGUCAUCAGGUUAAAGCAGAAAGAAAUAAGUCUUUUGGAAUAAUGUAGUCAUUUCCCAUUCCACGGCGGAAAUGGGAGAAUAUUACUAUGGAUUUCAUGGACAAGCUUCCUCGUAUACCAAAUAGUUAGGUUGGAGUUUGAAUAAUAAUUGAUUGAUUUGUGACGUCAGCGCAUGUUACUUCAGUAUGAGAACAUCAACCUUUCCAGAUAAGCGCAACAGUCAUUUAUUUGUUUUAUGGAAAAAGGAGAUUGGGAUCUGUUAAACUUCUUGGGUAUGUUGGUUCCUUCAGUUUGUUCCCUAGAGUAACGCCAUAAGGCCGUGGAAAGCUAUGUCUUGUGUUUCGAAAUUGUUAGAAUUGGGGACGGAUGAUAUUCAAGACUCUGAGUUUGGUGAAAAUUUAUGGAGGAAUCUUUCAGUGGAAGAAAACUACUUGAAAGUCAAAGAAUCGAAUGAGAGAGAUGUGUGUUUCGGGCUGUUUCAUGGAUAUUGAUGGAUUGUAAAGAUUGUGUAAAUUUCGAGGACGAAAUUUCUGUAAGGUGGGUAGAUUGUGACAGCCCGUCCCUAAUUUUAAGAAUUUUUAAAGUUUUAAUAAAGGAUUUUACAAAAAUGCCCUUCGAGGCACGCACAUCAUUCGAGGUUAAUCGUUGUGUCGUGCCAUCUAAGAUUUGUUUUCUUGACAUAUCCUCGUAGUACUCGUCGUUACGGACGUGUGGGCGCAGACGGUUCGUGAUUUGGAGUUAUAUCGAAGAAGUUAUUAACGUUUGAAAUUUGGAAUUUUAAGGAAUUAUAAUUUUAGUAAAAUAUAGAAAUUCUUUUAUGAAAUUGGACGGCCCAGAUUUAUUGAUGAAUGAAAUGGAUGGCUGGGAUGAGGGAAAGGUUUUUGGUGUGUGUAUGUGUAUGAGAAGAAGAAACAGAAAACAGAAAAGAAGAAGAGACUGGGCAGAAAUGCCCAAUCGGAGAAGAAGAAGGUGAGAGCAAACCAGAAGAAGGGAGAGGAAGAAGCUGACCAAUCAGGGGACGGAAAGGAGGGAAAGGAGGGAAAGGAGGGAGAGUGGUGCGCGGGGGAACAGGAGGAAUGGGUCACCCUUGACCCGCGCGACCCAAGCUUCCAAAUCGGCGGGUUUUCGCCAUUUCCGUCCAAAUUUCCGACGAAUUGAGUCAAGGUACCACUCCUAAUCAUCAUCUAGGCCUUCCCUCUUUACGUUUCACCCCAAGAAUCAUUGAAUUUCGUUGUGAUUUCGCGAAGAACACCCCUACGGGUGCCGCGACCCUUUUGUUUAAAUUCUCCAAAUUUUGAAAUGUUUUCUUUCAAUUACUAACACCUUUAGCAUUCCUUUAGGACCUAGAACAAAGCCCAAGAGGUAAUUGAGGCGUUGGAACAAGUUUGAAGGUCGAAUUGGAAACACCCAAAUUCUAGGGUUCUUCACGGUUUUGGUGAAAUUGAAGCACUUCCAGGCCAAAUUGGCCUUGGUCUCAGGUAUGAAAGUUGUUCUACUCAUUGAGAUCUUCAAAUCUGCAAAUUUUGGUAAUUUUUGGAAAUAGUUGAAUUUUCCGGCGAGCCGGGGCGGCCAACCGCCACCCGCGGCGGCCCGCGCGGCGGCGCGUGGCCAAUGGCCGCCAAUGUCAUUAUUAGCUUGUGAUUAAGGUUCUAGGUUCUGUUUUGAUAAUUGAUGGACGUAAAUUGAAUAAUUGAACCUAAGUUGGUUACGAUUCGGGGUUAGGUGAAAAUGUGAAUUGACGAUCCGACCGUUGGAUCGUCAUCAAACUUUGAUACGUUGUAAUACGUAAUAUUUGAGGAUUAUAGGAACUUACGGAUUGGGAAUCCGAUUUACGGAUAUUCCGGAAUUGGAAUUGUAAGUUCAUAAAAUAGAAUGUUAACCGUCACUUAGUUUUGGAAAUUGACGGAGAUCCGACCGUUGGAUGGUAACGAAAUUUUAGGAUGUUGUCCUAGAGGUAUAUUGUGGACCUCUGGAAGUUUCGGAUUUGAAAUCUGAAUUGCAGAUCAUCCGGAUCGAACUACGUAGUGACGUGUCUUAUAUAAGUUAUGUAUUCUAUCGGCAGGAUUUCUGAGGUUGGGUUUGAUUAUUGUUCUAGGCGCUAAUCUUCAUGACGCCUUGAUGUGUGGUGCUAGGGAGUUGUUGAGCGAACUCCAGGUGAGUGGGCAGUUUUGUUUUCGUAUUACCUUUAUACUAUAAAUUUUUCCCAGAAGAUGAAUUUAUACGAAAUUAUGUUUUGAAAAUGCCAUGCAUAGAAUUAUUUGGAAAAGGUGAAUUUCACAUGAGUUAUAUGAUUGAUAUAUGAUGCAUACAUGUUGCAUGGUGCUGUGGAGGCACAGGUAAGUCAGGUGAGUUCAUUAUUCAUUUAAUUGAUUGUUGAUAAGAUGUUUCAAGCUCAUAACCUGCACCCUAGGUGUUAGUGCUUAUUUUAUUCACCACACCGCACGCUCGCCUUGGAUCCAAGUAGGUGGAUGUCGUACAGACCAUGUGAGGGUUCCGACAUGCUAGUCGUAUAGAUCACUAGGCGUGAUUCCGACUAGUGGGUGAUCUUAGUUAUGCGCGCUGAUGAUUGAUGAGAGAAGCACUAGAGCGUAUUUUUACACCUUUCAUCGUACAGACUACCUUACGUAGUUCCGAGUGAUGUGCAGAGUAGGGCCGUAUAGGUCACUGUGGUGACUCCGGCUUAGUGAGAUAUUGAGCUAUUGAAUUAAUCGUAUAGGACCAACUGCAGGGUCUCCGAUUGAUUCCUUAUUUCACCUGAUUUAUAUUUUGAUUUAUGGCAUGGCAUGUUUUUCUUGAAAAAUGUUAAAGAUUUGGGAUUCAAGUUUUGAGAUUUCAUAUGGUUAUAUAUAUAUAUUUUUCUGAAAAGUGUUAAAGGUUUGAGAUUUGAGAUUUUUGCUUAUAUAUAUGUUUAUAUAUAUGCUAUUUUCUGGGAAAGUAUACAGGUUUUACGGUGAGGGGUUAGAAAUAUUUUAAAUGAAAAGUUUUCGAAAAACUUUGUUUUACUGACCCACUCAAUUUUGUUUUGCGCCCUCCAGGUUCAAGUUAGCAGAGCUUUGGUGGCCACGAGGAAUCCAACGGUGUUCUGACAGAAUUCACAAAAGUAGGACUCACCCUCGGGUGUGUCAUCUUAGUAAUUGGAAAUUUUUUUUAAAGCUUCUGAACUAUGUAAAUGGUUACGUCACUCUCACGUGACGGCCAGCACGCCCUCCUUCGGGACGGGGUGUGUCAUUAAGUCUAGUUGUUAUAAUGCUCAUCCGACUAUUAACUGAGCCUUUGCUUUGAAUUCGGUAUUAAGCCAAGUUUAGCAUUUUAAUAGUAUAAUUAUAAUAAUAAAGUACCUUGAAUAUGGAAGUCAUCAACAACUAAAGCACACACUUGUUUAAUUUGUAUGAACACUGUAUAUUAUUGUUUUUGUAGACCCUGUCAACCACAACCAGUAAGAAUAUAUUAUCCUAGACACCUAACUAUAACUAGCAUAAAAAGAAGAUUAGCCUAUAUUUCUAACUAUAACUAGCAUAACAAGAAUCUGAAGAAGCAGAAGUGUUUCUCUUGGUUAGCUUGAACAUCCUUCAUUUAUUAAUAAAUAUAAAAACACAAAAGUGCAACAUAAUGUACUAGCAGCAAAAAGAGCAACAGAUCAUACUUUAAAGAUGUUGAGAAAAAAAAAAGAGAGUUAUUAGCUAUAACAUUAAAAAAAAAAUUUAAUUUACUUGAAUACAAUGAAUUUACUUGAAUGUUUUUACACCAGGCCAAACAAAAUCUGAAAAAUAAAGUAAUAGAAACAACAAACAUUUGUUGACAAUUUCAUCUUCCUCAAAAGACUUGCUUCUCAUAAACAACUUCAUCUUUCUCUACUCCCUAUAAAAAAUACAUGAAUCCAGUUGGUGCAACGUUUAGCUCAAUAUUCACCACAUUUAUUUAGGGCACACUAGUACAAAAAAUACUUUGCGCGACGUAGGCCCUUCGUCUCGCAAAGUCAAAAAACGUCGCGCAAAACUUAGCCCAACGAACCUUCAUCGCGCACCAACAGUUGUGUGACAAAGAAGUGCCCUGCGUCACACAGAGUGGUUUUGCGCGAUGCAGGUCCCUACGUCGUGCAAAACUACUUUGCGAGAUGCAGGUCCCAUGUCGCGCAAAACCACCUUGAGCGACGUUGGGACUUGCGUUGCGCAAACCCUUGUUUAUUUUUUUUUUGGCAAAUAUAUUUUUAUUUAAUUUUUAAUAAAUAUUGUAAUUAAAUUCUAAACAAUAAUUAAUAAACCAAGAAAAAGUAUUUAAUUAUAAAAUAUAUGAAAAUGUACAUACAAGAUGUCUGAACAAAAAAGAAAAAACUACAAUAAGUAGUUUUCUAGGUUUAAUACAUCAUGCUACUGGGUAUCGACUGGGCAAAGUGGCUGGGAGGUCGAAGGUGGAGCAACAUCAAGUACUGGCAUUGGGACAUAGAGGUGCGAAAUAGAUAAGCACACAAAUUAAACCCUCUUUUUGUCAAAUCGUAGUAAAGAUGUAAGUAGGGAUCGUUCUAGACCGGGGAUUAGGAGGGAUUGCUAAACACUUGAAAACUGACUUCAAAACAUGAAAACAAAGUUUAAAACACUAAGCUAGACUCAAAGAAUGCAAAACUAAAGUUAAAAACACUUAAACAAACCUAAAACUCAAAACAGCAACCUAAUGACUCAAAACUGCCUAAAAACCACUUUCUGGGCAGUUUUGAGAACCUAACAAGAACUUGGACGAAUUUGGGUGAAAACUUGAAUCAAAACACUUAGAAACACAAAUCAAAACAUAUUCUAACUAAUCUACGACUUCAAAAAUAAAAGGGGAUUUGUUUUGGACGAAAAUUGAAAAACAAACAGAAACUUUAAAACAAAACAGAUUGUAAAACGUUUUUGGAUGAAAAGGAUGGAUAAAAGGCUAGUUAGGAGGUUCUUCUCCACACAUGUCACACUUGCAAACAAAAACGAUUUUCAGUUGUUCUUCCAAUAAAUUAUGAAUACUCAACGCCCCAAAUUAACCGUGAAUUGCACUAAUUAACCCUCAGUUUUUCCACAAGUUAUUGAGUUGGAUGAUUGCAUACGACAACCCAAAACAUUCCUUACAAGUUCCCUACAUGAAUUGCAUAAUAGAGAUACAAGCAAGAAUCAUUAAGUUCUAUGAAAAACAUAAGCAUUGACGAAGCAUUCGUUACUAUGAAUUGCAUGAAACUUAUGCCAAGAAUUCAUUCAACGUGAUCGUUUUCAAGCGACCUUCACUACUUGUGAUUAUAAGAUUGUAACUAUUAGGUGAAACUCCCUCAUAAUCUAGCAUCAUAUUCAUGCAUGAAAACUAAGCGUGCACUCUCAAUCAACAUACACAAAUAAGUAUCAAUCAAAUAGAUGAACGAAUUGAAUCCACAACUUAUGAAAUAACAACUGAAUGUAAUCAAAUCAUAUUGCAAGCAUGUACAUGGUUUCGAAUUCCCCCCCUAACCAAGGGGGGUUUAGUUCCUCAUUCUCACAACACAAAGAGUAUCAAAAUUAAACAUAGAAAUCAAAGGAAAGACAACACCUAAAACGUUCCAGCAACCCUUAAUUGAAUGGCAUGAAUGUCCCAAGCUUUCUCUCCUCCUCUUGGCUGCGGCACAAGGACUAGAGACAGGUUCUAGGGGUUAUUUGGAUGGAUGAGUAGGUAAGGAAUGAUAUGGUAGUGUUUUGGGGACAUGGGGGUUGCGGCAAAGUAUGGAAAAAUGGCAGAUUGGUGGAGGAAGGUUGCGGCAAAGUGUGAUGGAUGUGUUUGACAAAUUUCUGAAUUGUGGAGGGGGCAUAUCUGCGGCAAGGCUAAGAACACAUAUAUAUAGGCACCAUAAACCCUAGGGAAAUCAGGUUUAAGCAAUGGGCUAAGGUUUAGAUGCGGCAAAGGGCUAAAAGUCCACCAGAAAAUAAAGUUUUUAGAAAGCCUUGCAAGGCAAGGGGUCCAAAUCUGAAAAGGAUUGGGCUUAUGGUGUGGCAAUGUCCAAGAAUGUAAGGAUGGGUCAUCUAGAAGCCCAAAGCCAAGAAUAGAAACUCUCACAAAUGGAAACCUCCAAGAAUAGAAACUUCCAACUUUAGAAACUUUGGGUUCUAAUUCUGAAUUCUUUGUUCUUCACUUUCAUUUCUUCAUUUCUUAAGCUCCCUUUGACCUUCAACUCGUCCAUUCCUUGUGCUCCAUAAGUAAAAACGCCAUUUGAGCUCAAUUAUGCUCCAUUUUGCACUUCCUUGCAUACUUUGUCUCUAAAACCUGAAAACAUAUAAAACUAGCUUAAAAGACUACGUUAACUAAGAAAACACCAUGGAAAUGCAUAAGAACUAGCUAACUAAGGCGCAUAAAUAUGCUCCUAUCAAAUUCCCCCACACUUAGCUUUUGCUAGUCCUCGAGCAAAACAAACAAAAGAAAGGAAACAAAAUGAAACAAAUUAACCAAAACAAACCUAAACCUUCCAACGUUUGCCUCAGGGAUUUCCAAUGCACAUGACAUGUUAAAGAUUGUUAUCCCCACAGAUUUGAGUCGUCUUUACACAAGCACGUACUUAAUUAAAGCCACUACUUACUAGUUCACAAGUAAUCAAUUAAAACAAUGCUUUGAAUGUAGUAACAUGCCUUAGAGAAUUCCCUCAAUUCCUUACAAGAUAUACACUCUAUUUUCACUCAGAUUUUCUAACUACACACCCUACACUAGUCAUAUGUGAGAAGAUUGAUGUAGAUAUGAAAACGAAUGCUCACAUAUAUGUAUCACAAAGAACGCAAUUUCUAGAGUUAAGAAGCAUGUUUAGAUAUGAUCUCAUGAAUGGAAUGCUACUACUUAGAUGCGAGAACCAGUGACACCAUAUGCUCAUACCAAAUUCAAACUCCACAAAUUGAAAUACACAACACUCAAGAUAGAAGUUAAGGGUUGUAACGGGGCUUGGGGUGUUGGUUAACAAGGAAAGGAUAGGGAAAACAAACGUUCUUCAAGCAAUAGUAAGCAAAGCAAUGAAAUUGAGACUUAGAAUUCACUUAAAUUGCAGAAAUUAACUUUAAAACACCAGGGGAAGACUUAAACAACUCCUUAGGGCCGAAUUCAUUGUUUUGGACCCUUACUUCAACAAACAAUACUUUGGAACUCUUUUUCUCAACUUUUCAACUCUUUUUUUUUUUCAAACUUUUCAUACUUUUUUCUUCAAUUUUCUUUUUCCACGAAAUUUUUUUUUCUUUUCUUUUCUUUGUCGUGCCUAUGGCACACAAUUCCUCACGAAAAAAAAUACUUCCCCCACACUUGGUUUCUGCCAACAUAGAUCAAAAGGAAUUCAAUUCGAAUCAUGCUUUACUAUGCUUUAAGAACACGGGUAUGGAUGGUCCUAAACUAGGCUAGGUGAGGAUAAUGUGGGUUAACAACAACAUAGGCUAAACAAGGCUCAACGGGGUUAAACUUAAACAUAAAAUGAUAUGGGAUACACGGCAGUUUGGCUAAGGUGGUGGUAACUACACAACUUUAUCUUGAAUAUGUGUUAUGCAAAUCAAUAACAUGCUUUGAAUGAAAUGGUCAUGAGUUCUAGCAUUUGGAACUAAAUGAUGAAACGCCUUCUAAGUAGCAACCAAGCAAGGAAUAAUGAGAUCAUGCAACGACUUAGAAAACAAAGAAUGCACAGAUUUUAACUCUCCAAAUAACCGUUUAGGCUCAAGUCUCACAAGGUUGUAGCGUUUGUUUGAGUUCCUUCCUUCAAGCAUGUUACAAAAACUGAUUUUUCCUUUAUGAUUGCAUGUGAAUUCAUAAGUUAUAACCACAACCAAGCAUAAACAAAGAGUAAAUCAAACUUUCAUCCAUGUUAAUCACUCUCUUUAACAGUCAUGCAAUUAAAAACCAAAUCCUCAUCAUUGUGUUGGAAGGUACCCUAAGACACAAACAAACACACAAAAACAACGCUUUUUGGGUUUUUAAAACAAAUUUUUCAAAUUUUUAUGUGAUUUUCGGAUUUUUACUUCAAAACACACUAAAACACACCAAAACUGCUCAAAAACACUUAAAAACAGCAAGGAACAAGUCUCCAAGUUAAGGGUGAUAAAAUCCCACGAAUUUGCAUCUAAAACACUUAGUUACCCCCCCACACUUAAAUCAAACAUUGUCCUCAAUGUUUCAAGCAUAAAAUCACACUAAACAAAAAGAAACACACAAACAGCAACUAAAACAACUAAAUAGGCAGAUUCGAAAUAAAUAACAAAGUGAAGAGUUUAGGAACGCAAAUCUGGAAUUGGAGUAAUUCCUUGGUCUUCCUUUGUUGUAUUGCAUGGGUUGCCUCCCAAGGAGCGCUUUCUUUAACGUCGUACAGCCGGACGAAAAGCCCAUUCAUUCUCCUUUUGUGCCCACGGCACCCAAAGAAAUAUCAUCCACGGUUUGUUCAACAAAGUUCUCAUAAUAUGGCUUCAAACGGUGUCCGUUCACUUGGAAUUCAUGACCUGUUUUGAGACUUUGAAUCUGGAUGGCACCAUAAGAAGAUACGUUAGUAAUAACAAACGGUCCAAUCCACUUAGAACGUAACUUACCGGGAAACAAACGUAAACGGGAAUUGAACAAUAGCACUUUCUGCCCAAUUGAGAAUGAUUUCCCACGGAUCAUGUUGUCAUGGAAAGCUUUGGUCUUUUGCUUGUAAAUGCUUGCAUUAUCGUACGCCUCGUGCCGUAUCUCAUCAAGCUCAUUCAAUUGCAAUCUCCUUUGACUUCCUGCUUCCUCGAGGUUCAUGUUAAACUUCUUGAUGGCCCAAAGUGCUUUGUGCUCCAAUUCAACAGGAAGAUGGCACGCCUUGCCAUAGACAAGUCGGAAGGGGGACAUCCCAAUGGGGGUUUUGUACGCCGUACGAUACGCCCAAAGUGCAUCAUCUAACUGUAAGCUCCAAUCCUUCCGUGUUGGCCCAACGGUCUUCUCAAGUAUUUGCUUGAUCUCUCGGUUGGAAACCUCGGCUUGGCCAUUCGUUUGAGGAUGGUAAGGUGUAGAAACCUUAUGGGUGACACUGUAUUUCCUCAAUAACGCUUCAAUGGUCCGAUUGCAAAAGUGUGACCCUCCAUCACUAAUGAUCACUCGUGGCAUUCCGAACCUUGCAAAAAUGUUAGUUCUAAUAAAAUCUGCAACCACUUUAGAAUCAUUAGUCCGGGUGGCCUUGGCUUCCACCCAUUUCGACACAUAAUCAACCGCAAGCAAAAUAUACAUGAAACCAUAUGAUGAAGGGAAGGGACCCAUAAAAUCAAUACCCCAAACAUAAAAAAUUUCAACAUUUAGGAUAGAAACCUGCGGCAUUUGGUCCUUUGCACUAAUACCACCCAUUCGUUGGCAUUUAUCACAUGUUAAGCAAAAAGUUUUAGCAUCUUUAAAAAUACUAGGCCAAUAGAAUCCACAUUGUAACACCUUGAGGGCUGUGCGUUGUGUGCCAAAGUGCCCUCCACAUGCAUAUGUGUGACAAAAACUCAAAAUUGAAUGACAUUCAUAAUCGUGCACACAACGACGUAUAAUCUGAUCAGGGCAAAAUUUCCAUAAGUACGGAUCAUCCCACACAUAAAACCGUGCAUCAUGCCUAAGUUUAUCACGUUGGUGCCUAGUGAACUCACUUGGAAUACGUUUUGACACCAAAAAAUUAACAAUAUCGGCAUACCAAGGCGCACUAACCUUAAUGGACAGCAAUUGUUCAUCGGGGAAUGUCUCCAAAAUCGGCAAAGACUCCUCAUUAUGCACCAUUCGGCUUAGGUGGUCAGCCACCACGUUUUCACUUCCCUUCUUGUCCCGAAUCUCUAUGUCGAACUCUUGAAGUAGCAAUAUCCAUCGAAUUAGCCGUGGCUUGGCCUCUUUUUUGGUGAGCAAGUACUUCAGAGCUGCAUGAUCAGUGAAAACAAUUACUUUAGUUCCAAUUAGAUAUGAUCGAAAUUUAUCUAAAGCAAAGACAACGGCAAGGAGUUCUUUUUCCGUAGUGGAGUAGUUCAAUUGUGCAUCGUUCAACGUCCGUGAGGCAUAGUAAAUGACAUGCGGCCUCUUGUCCUUUUCUUUGUCCUAAAACAGCUCCUGAAGCAUAGUCGGACGCAUCACACAUGAGCUCGAACGGUAGACUCCAAUCCGGUGGAACAAUGAUGGGUGCCGUGGUCAACAACUCCUUGAGUUGGUUGAAUGAUGCCGUGCACUCCUUGGUGAAUUCAAACGCCACUUCUUUUUGUAGGAGUCGACAAAGAGGUUGUGCUAUCUUCGAGAAAUCUUUGAUAAACCUAUGAUAAAAUCCUGCAUGGCCAAGAAACGAACGAACCUCUCUAACCGAAGUCGGAGAGGGUAAGUGACGUACAAGAUCUAUUUUCGACUUAUCAACCUCAAUACCCUUUUCAGAGAUUAUAUGACCUAAAACGAUGCCUUGUUUAACCAUAAAAUGACACUUUUCCCAAUUAAGAACAAGGUUAGUUUCAACACAAUGUUUUAGGAUCAAACUUAGAUUAUGCAAGCAACUAUCAAACAAAUCACCAAAUACACUAAAAUCAUCCAUAAACACUUCAAUUAUCUUUUCUACGUAAUCAGAAAAUAUGCUCAUCAUGCAUCUUUGAAAUGUAGCAGGUGCAUUACAUAAACCAAAAGGCAUGCGACGAUAUGCAAAUGUACCAAACGGGCAUGUAAAAGUGGUUUUUUCUUGGUCCUCGGGUGCAAUGACAAUUUGAUUAUAACCAGAAUAACCAUCAAGAAAACAAUAAAAAGCAUAACCCGCUAACCUCUCAAGCAUUUGGUCAAUGAACGGCAAUGGGAAGUGGUCAUUCCUCGUGGUGGUGUUUAGCUUCCUAUAGUCAAUGCACACCCUCCAACUGGUUUGAAUACGUUGAGGGACAAGCUCAUUCUCGGCAUUAGCUACCACCGUCACUCCGGAUUUCUUUGGUACGCAUUGAACGGGCAAAACCCACCUACUAUCUGAGAUUGGAUAGAUAACCCCACAAUCUAGAAGCUUUAUGAUCUCAUUUUUCACAACUUCCAUCAUAGGAGGGUUGAGACGGCGUUGAGCCUCUCGAGUUGGUUUGGCCCCCUCCUCAAGAAAUAUGUGAUGCAUACAAGUCGUAGGGCUUAUACCUUUGAUGUCGGCCAAUGUCCAACCUAAGGCAGAUUUGAAUUCCUUCAAGACGCGCACUAGUUCUCCUCUUCUUAUGCCGUGAGGGAGGGAGGAAAUGAUGGCAGGUAGUGUUUCAUUUUCUCCCAAGAAAAUGUACUUCAAAUGGCUUGGCAAAGGCUUGAGUUCAAGGAUAGGUGCCUGAAUUAUGGAUGGAAGCAAUUUGUUAGUCGAAAUGGGAAUGGACUCACGGUUAGUAUACUUACCAUCAAGCUUAGGUGAGGACUCAAGGGCAGCCACAACUUCAAUUAGUUCUUCACUAGGGGCCACGGCAUGGCCUAGUCCAUGUAUGCCGUGGGUUACACUAGAAUCUGCCCCCUUGGUUUUGAGUUCCAUGCCUCGUGUAAUGACUUUUUCAAGCGCAUCGUCAUUCAAAUCGUCGAGAUAUCCCUGCGCCAAAGAGUCAAUUAUAUCAAUAGAGAAACAUGAAUGGUCCUCACUAGGGUAUUUAAUGGAAUCAGAAAGAUUAAAAUUAACAACUUCCCCAUCGAAUUCCAUGGACAAAGUUCCACUAUACACAUCAAUCUUUGUCCGGGCCGUCUUCAUGAAUGGCCUUCCAAGUAGAAUGGGCAGCAAAGGAGCAUCAUGGUCCGAUUCAUCCAUUUCGAGGACAUAGAAAUCCGCCGGGAAGACUAAAUGAUUAACCUGCACAAGAACAUCUUCCAAAACUCCCUUUGGAUAGGCGUUAGAUCUAUCGGCCAAUUGUAUUAUUACCCCAUCAUUUUUCAAUGCUCCUAAGUUCAUAGAUGCAUAAAUGGAAUAUGGCAUAACAUAUAUAGAAGCACCUAAAUCAAGCAUGGCAGAUUCAAAUCUAGUGCUCCCAAUGACACAAGGAAUGGUAAAGCUACCUGGAUCUUUGCAUUUGGGAGGUAGUUUGCGUUGCAAGAUGGCGGACACAUUCUCACCUACCUUUACCACUUCCUUAGUUGACAUCCUCUUCCUAGUGGUACACAACUCCUUCAAGAACUUAGCAUACCUCGGAACUUGCUUGAUUGCAUCUAACAAAGGGUAUGUUAACUUGAACUUUCCUAAAGGUUUCAAGGAUAUCCUUUUCUGCCUCUUCUUUCUUCGUUUGCAUGAACCUACUAGGAAAAGGCACAUUUGAAGGGAAAACAUUAGUAUGAACUGAAUUGGACACAUUCUUACCCUUAUUGGCCGAAUUGGACAGAUUUGGGGCCUUAGGGACUUGCGGCAAAGGUGGAACCACCUUUGCCGUGGGCAUGCUUGAUUCCUCCUCUUCAAUUAGCACAUUUACAUCACUUUUGAGAGACCUGUUUGUGAUGGUGUGUAGAACCUGCCCCAAUCUCUUUUCCACUUCUCAAGAGUAUUGCCUUUGCACUUUCGAAACCUCCCUUCGGAUUUGGAAUGGUAGAACUAGGGAGUUGUCCGGGAUCUCGAAACUUACCUACAAACUCGGCAAUCUGCCCAAUUUGUUUCUCAAGUUGAUCCACCCUUUUGUCUUGGUUUUGCAUAGCCUUAGCUUGAUCUUCCUGCCCAUUAGACAACUUGGUUAGUAUCUUAAGAAGUGCAUCAUUGUCAAGAGACGUACCUGAGGCACUUGGGCCGGAUUGGGCUUGAUUUUGGGGUGGGCCGUAGGUUUUGGGAAAGAACCCCGGGGGUUGUUGCCUAAAGCCUCAUUGGUUUUGAGGUUGUUGGGGCUCCCUCCACUUGAAAUUUGGGUGGUCUCUCCAACCGGGAUUAUAUGUGUUUGAAUAUGGAUCGUUCCUUGGUUGGUUUUGCCCUUGAAACCCAAUUGCAUGUGCGCUUUCCCAUCCACCAUUUUCAAUCAACUGUGGACACUUUUAAGAGACAUGUCCUUAGAUGGAACAUACGCCACAUACAAUUGGUCCUUGCAUCUUCAUGCCCUCGGCCAUCUAAGACACAAGAGAAGUAAGAUUAGCCAAUUGUGAGUGAAGAUCGGAAGUUGUACUUACCUCAUGUACUUGGUGCCGUGGGGGUCCCCUUUGGCCUACUCCCUCAUAUUGUUGAGCGUUCAACGCUCGGUUAGAGAUCAAGAUCUUGGCAGCCAUGGGUGUUUUGUCCACCAAUGCUCCCCCCGCCGAAGCAUCAAGCAUUUGACGUUCUAGAGAGGUAGGAGACCCUCGUAGAAAUAUUGCAAAAGCAACUCCUCCUUCAUCUGAUGCUGUGGACAAGAAGCAACAAGUGAUUUAAAUCGUUCAUAAUAUGUAGGAAAAGACUCACCCUUCUUCUUGCUGAAUUCGGCUUAUCUUUUUGCGUAGGAGGAUGAUGCGAGAAGUUGGAAAGAACUUCUCCAAGAACGCUCUCUUCAUACUCUCCCAAGAAGUUACAGUGCCGGGAGCUAACUCGUAUAACCAAUCCUUGGCUUUAUCCAUCAAAGAGAAUGGAAAAGCCUUCAUCUUCAAGAUAUAUCCGUCAACAUUGACGGGAGUUAUCCUAGAGCAAACCACUUCAAAUUCUUUCAAAUGUUUGUUAGGAUCUUCCAUGGACAAGCCAUGGUAUUUAGGAAUAUGAUGAAGCAAACUUGACUUUAAUUCAAACUCGUCUGUCUUACCUUGGGCGGCCGUGGGGUAUUGGAUGCACAAGGGUGCGGCAUUAUCCAAACCUGAGGCGGAAAGCUCUUUGAGUGUACGGUUGUCCACCACCAUGCCUUGGACUUCUUCAAAUAUUCCCUGCCGUGGUCUCCUCCUCUUCUUGUACGGUUUCUUCAAGGUCAGAUUCGGAAUUGGGCGGAUGGUGUUCUUGCUCUGGUUUCUAGCUCUUCUUUCCUCUCAAAGUCGUCGUCAAAAUCCAAGAUGUUCGCAUGAUGAAUCGUUUGAGAGCUUCUAGUCAUACACUAGUACCUAAGAAACAAGAAACAAAUUUAGGUCAGAAACUUAAACAAAAUCAGAAACAAAGUGAAAUAAAAGAAACAAAAACAAUCCAAGGGAUUAGCAAAAUUGCUAAUCCCCGGCAACGGCGCCAAAAAUUUGAUGCGAAAUAGAUAAGCACACAAAUUAAACCCUCUUUUUGUCAAAUCGUAGUAAAGAUGUAGUAGUAGGGAUCGUUCUAGACCGGGGAUUAGGAGGGAUUGCUAAACACUUGAAAACUGACUUCAAAACAUAAAAACAAAGUUUAAAACACUAAGCUAGACUCAAAGAAUGCAAAACUAAAGUUAAAAACACUUAAACAAACCUAAAACUCAAAACAGCAACCUAAUGACUCAAAACUGCCUAAAACCACUUUCUGGGCAGUUUUGAGAACCUAACAAGAACUUGGACGAAUUUGGGUGAAAACUUGAAUCAAAACACUUAGAAACACAAAUCAAAACAUAUUCUAACUAAUCUACGACUUCAAAAUAAAAGGGGAUUUGUUUUGGACGAAAAUUGAAAACAAAACAGAAACUUUAAAACAAAACAGAUUGUAAAACGUUUUUGGAUGAAAAGGAUGGAUAAAAGGCUAGUUAGGAGGUUCUUCUCCACACAUGUCACACUUGCAAACAAAACGAUUUUCAGUUGUUCUUCCAAUAAAUUAUGAAUACUCAACGCCCCAAAUUAACCGUGAAUUGCACUAAUUAACCCUCAGUUUUUCCACAAGUUAUUGAGUUGGAUGAUUGCAUACGACAACCCAAAACAUUCCUUACAAGUUCCCUACAUGAAUUGCAUAAUAGAGAUACAAGCAAGAAUCAUUAAGUUCUAUGAAAAACAUAAGCAUUGACGAAGCAUUCGUUACUAUGAAUUGCAUGAAACUUAUGCCAAGAAUUCAUUCAACGUGAUCGUUUUCAAGCGACCUUCACUACUUGUGAUUAUAAGAUUGUAACUAUUAGGUGAAACUCCCUCAUAAUCUAGCAUCAUAUUCAUGCAUGAAAACUAAGCGUGCACUCUCAAUCAACAUACACAAAUAAGUAUCAAUCAAAUAGAUGAACGAAUUGAAUCCACAACUUAUGAAAUAACAACUGAAUGUAAUCAAAUCAUAUUGCAAGCAUGUACAUGGUUUCGAAUUCCCCCCUAACCAAGGGGGGUUUAGUUCCUCAUUCUCACAACACAAAGAGUAUCAAAAUUAAACAUAGAAAUCAAAGGAAAGACAACACCUAAAACGUUCCAGCAACCCUCAAUUGAAUGGCAUGAACGUCCCAAGCUUUCUCUCCUCCUCUUGGCUGCGGCACAAGGACUAGAGACAGGUUCUAGGGGUUAUUUGGAUGGAUGAGUAGGUAAGGAAUGAUAUGGUAGUGUUUUGGGGACAUGGGGGUUGCGGCAAAGUAUGGAAAAAUGGCAGAUUGGUGGAGGAAGGCUGCGGCAAAGUGUGAUGGAUGUGUUUGACGAAUUUCUGAAUUGUGGAGGGGGUCAUAUCUGCGGCAAGGCUAAGAACACAUAUAUAUAGGCACCACAAACCCUAGGGAAAUCAGGUUUAAGCAAUGGGCUAGGGUUUAGGUGCGGCAAAGGGCUAAAAGUCCACCAGAAAAUAAAGUUUUUAGAAAGCCUUGCAAGGCAAGGGGUCCAAAUCUGAAAAGGAUUGGGCUUAUGGUGCGGCAAUGUCCAAGAAUGUAAGGAUGGGUCAUCUAGAAGCCCAAAGCCAAGAAUAAAAACUCUCACAAAUGGAAACCUCCAAGAAUAGAAACUUCCAACUUUAGAAACUUUGGGUUCUAAUUCUGAAUUCUUUGUUCUUCACUUUCAUUUCUUCAUUUCUUAAGCUCCCUUUGACCUUCAACUCGUCCAUUCCUUGUGCUCCAUAAGUAAAAACGCCAUUUAAGCUCAAUUAUGCUCCAUUUUGCACUUCCUUGCAUACUUUGUCUCUAAAACCUGAAAACAUAUAAAACUAGCUUAAAAGACUACGUUAACUAAGAAAACACCAUGGAAAUGCAUAAGAACUAGCUAACUAAGGCGCAUAAAUAUGCUCCUAUCAGGAGGUCGAAGGUGGAGCAACAUCAAGUACUGGCAUUGGGACAUAGAGGUCGGACAUCGCUAAAGCCUGUACAAUCAUACUCAUUUGCUCACCCUGGGUCCACAUCUGCUCACCCUGGGCCGCAAGCUGACCUUUUAGGGUUGUCACUUUCUCCUUGAGGGCAUUGACCUCUGUUGUGGACGAUUUGGAAGAGGAGGCACCCGUCUCAUGAACCAUCGCCUUCCCCAUACACCGAACAGCCUUGCCAUGAUGACUACCGAACUUCUGAUCCAAGACCUCAGUCACGAUCUAAAGACUUGCAUCCUUGGGUACAAUGACGUCCUCGAUCGGGGUCUCCAGGGGAAGCUACGAUAUUGCUUCUUGGAGAACAGCAGUGCACAUUGGUCACACACCGACGAUGAGUGAUCAACUGUGACAUCUAUACACUUUUUGAACCAUAGAAAUAUAACAUUAGAAACUAAUCCUUUCUUGCAUUUGAAAUUAAUCAAUUAGUAGCCAAAGUAAUAAUAUAAGUAAGUAGGUUACCAACAUUCUUAAUUUGAAGAGAGGAACUACCUAUCCAUUUUCAUAACCAACAAAAAAAGUGCAUCAAGUGAAACAAAAAAGAAUGGGUAAUCCGACAUUGGGAAUCUAUGAUAAAUUUUAAAGAUUAUUUAAAUCAUUAUUUAUAACAACUAAAACUUGUUUUAGGAUGCCCAAUAAACACUCGAGUAAGCAGACAUUGUAAUCAAUCAAUGGUACCAAAACUUCAUUACACUAAUUGAUAUGAUCAAAGUACCGUACAAAAACAGUUUACUUCGUACAAGCCAUUCAACCGAACACAUGACCAUAGAGACUGACUAGUAAGCAGGUAGGAAGGUAAGAGAAGCAACUGAUGCUCUUAGGGGAUUUAAAUCCCAUAAUGUUAAGUCGAGAUCUAAACACCUUGAGAAAUGCAUGUUCAAGUUCCAAUAACCAGCAGAAGAUAGCUUGCAUAGUUCACCAGGAACCAACUAUGUUAGUUCCUAUACAGUCUAAGUCUAAUCAAUGAGAUUCACAAUUAUUCUAGGGAAGAAGUUAGAAUCGAUAUGCAUGGAUGCAACAAAUAUUCAUGUUAAUUAUAUAUACGUAUACAUUUAUUAUGAAGAUCGACCUGGGUUUUUUAGCCCAACAAAGAGGGCCAAAUGGGAUGAACGAAAAGCUGUUGAAGGUAAUAAUACCUAGAAAUUAUUACAUUACAAAAACCCUACCGAUUUAUUUAAGCAUGCAUUCAAAUUUGAAAGUAUAAAGAGUGAUUUUAUACUGAUGAGCUUGUUGACGUUCUCUGACAUAAGUGGGUCUAAUAUGUCAAUUUUUUAUUCUAAAUAGUUUAAUUGAAACAUAAGAUAGUACUGUUGCUAAACUGUAUGUGUUACUAAUCAGGGAAGAACAAAGAAGAAGCAAUGGCUAAAUACAUCACAAAGGUGAAGCAGCUGCAACAACAAGAAGUAGCCUCCACAUAGAUCAUACAACAUUAAUGGAGUGCUAUAUCUAUAUCUUAAACAUUUCCUAAGUGUUUCAAGAAGAAAACACAUACCAGAAUGUAAUAAAUCAAUAAUUUUCAAUUUCCACAGCUUCUGCUUUAUAAUUAAGUCAUGAUGUACUGCACUUAUGAGUAGAAAUGUUUUUCAAAUAAGAGCUCUAAACAAGCUGUUGUCCAUAGAUUUGAACUUAGUUGUCCCUAGAUUUGAACUGAAGGAUUCUUCAAAUAAUGGAGAUGCAAAUCCCAUAAACUAGGGCUUUGAGGCUCUAAUGACUUGGUUUACAAAGAAUGAGAUAUAAACCUAGAAUCUACAGAUUCGCAUAGUAAUUGAUUACGUUUGUAUACUGAGACUUACUUCAGAGACUAAAAACAUAAGAUCCAUAGAAUAUCAAGAAUCAUAAGAUCCAUAGUCCCAAUAUUUAGCAAUGGUAAAAAAGAAAAAAAUGUGUCGAGGAAUCCUAUAAACUUUACAAACUAGUAAAAAUCUGCCUCUUGUUGACAACCAAAGACAAAAGUGAGAACAAACAUCCAGUUUAUUUUCAUUACCAACGAACACACCAUGUUUAAUCAAGUGAAAUGUUCAUCUGACUGUAAAUGUGGACAAGGAAAUGCUCAACUGAUAAAACAGAAUGGAAUUUGGGGUAUGCCUAUGUGUAUCCAGCAGCUAAACAUUAUCUAUACAUUUCCUCCAAGCAUUUGAGUCAAAUACUGUAAAUUCUAACAAGAAAAUGACACACAUAAUAUUAUAAUUAGAAAGAAAAAAAUUGAGGACAUUCAAAGAAGAAAAGAGUGAAGGAAUAGAACCAAGUCCUCGAGCAAUAUGCUAACCUGGGUCAAUACUUGCUAGCUGGCUGGGAAUUGAAAGUCUAUACCCAAAUUGCUUCAAACUACAAACAAGGAACAACAACAAUGAAAUUCUUAAACCCUGAAAUUCAGCCCAUUUCCUAAUAAUUUAUCCCAACUAAAAACCCUGAUUCAAUCCCCAUUUCAAAAUUAAAACCCUAAUUCCCAUUUAAAAAAAUUUAAACCCUGAAUCCAUCACAUGCCCUAGUAAUUUAUCCCAAAUUAAAACCCUAGAUUCUAAAAUUCAUCUCAAUCCUCAAUCAAAAUCCUUAAUUUCACAAUUUCACAAUUUGUAAUUAGACUUACUUUCAAGGAGAGAUACGAGCAUGACGAAGGGGUAGUGGCUGCUCGUCGUUUAGAAUGAGAGGGAUAGAGACAACCGAGAAAGUAGUGGUGGUGGUUGGAUUUGAGAUUGUGAAGAGGAAAGAGAGGUCUGGGUUCAAGAUUUAGGGUUCGAGCUUGCGAAGAGGAGAUAGAGGUCUGAGUUCAAAAAAAAAAAAAAAAAAGAUAAGGAGGAAGGCUACGAGAGAGGAUGAGGAGGGUGGGAGAGAGAGGGAGAGAGAGGGCGAGAUGAGCAAGAGGAAAGAGAGAGACUGAGUGAGAGAGUUCAGGUGUGGGAAACUUUUGUCUAAACUUUGGAAAAUUUAAAAAGAGCGCCCAUUUGCACCGCCAAAAUUAUCCCAAAUUGCGCGAAGUAGGUUUGCAUUUUGACGUUGUGCAAAGUGUUUUUGUGCAAUGAUGGCAUUAUGGCGUCGCGCAAGGUAUCUUUUUUAUUUAUUUAUAAUUUUAUAAAAUUUACUGAAAAUGUGACUUUACUCUCUUCAAAUUCAAUUUUUUUUUACAUAAAACCCACAAUAAUUGACACACCCCGUCCCAAAGGAGGGCAUGGAUCGAUCUACGUAGUGACGUAUUUUAUAUAAGUUAUAUAUUCUAUCGAUAUGAUUUCUGAGGUUGGAUUUGAUUAUUGUUCUAGGCACCGAUCGUCAUGAUGCCUUGAUGUGUGGUGCUAGGGAGUUGCUGGGCGAACUCCAAGUGAGUGGGCAGUAUUUCUGUUUAUACCUAUAUACUACUGAUAUUUUUCCCAGAAAUUGAAUUUAAAUGAAGGUACGUUUUAAAAUGUCAUGCAUGCAUAUUAUGAGAUAUAUGAAUUGAUAAUUGAUGCAUAUAUAUAUGUGAAUUGGUGUUGUGGACGCACAUGUGAGUAUCAGGUGAGUUUUAUGUUAUUCAUGUGAAUCAUUGAUGAUGUGAAUUGUGUUGAGAGCUCAUAACCUGCACCCCUGGUGUUAGUGCUUAUAUUAUUCACCGCACCGCACCGCACGCUCACCUUGGAUCCAAGUAGGUGCAUGUCGUACAAACCGAUAGAGGGUUCCGACAUGCGUACGCUCAGUAAGUGGUAGUCGUAAACCGUAGAGGUUCCGACAUGAGUCGUACACUAAGGUGUUCCGACUAAGUGACCUUUAGAUUAUGUGCACAGAUGAUUGAUGAGAGAAGCACUAGAGCGUAUUAUUACACCAUUCUUGUCGUACAGACUACUUCAGGUAGUUCCGACUUAUGUGCAGAGUAGCGCCGUACAGGUCACCGUGGUGACUCCGGUUGGAUUAGAUAUUGAGCUAUAGAAUUAACCGUACAGGACCAACUGCAGGGUCUCCGGUUGAUUCCUUAUUUCACCUGUUAUAUUGAUGCAUCCAUAUUCUGUUUUUGACAUUAUGACAUGGCAUACUUUAUGGUUUUGAUAAAGAUUGAUGAUUGAUGAGAUAUAUUUGAAGGUAUAUGCUAUUAUGUUAUUAUUUUCUGAAAAAGUAUAUACAGGUUUUACAGCGAGGGUUAGAAAUGUUUUAAAUGAAAUGUUUUUCGAAAAAACUUUGUUUUACUGACCCACUCAACUUUGUUUUGCGCCCCUCCAGGUUCUAGAUAGCAGAGCUUUGGUGGCCACAAGGAAUCCAACGGUUUCUGACAGAAUUCACAAAAGUAGGACUCACCCUCGGGUGUUUCAUCUUAGUAAUUGUAUCUUUAAAGCUUCCGAACUGUGUAAAUGGUUACGUCACACUCACGUGACGGCCAGCAUGCCCUCCUUCGGGACGGGGUGUGUCAAUAAUAAUCCUAACAAAAACCCGACCCGAUCUACAAUAAUAAAUUUGAACAUACUUAAUAAAUAUACAUAUCAUUCAAUUUCUUAAGUAUAUACGUACAAAAUAAAUAAAUUUAAAUCUACUUAAAAUAUAUAUACCACUGAAAUUGAUGGGAUAUGCAUUGUACAAAACUAGUUUCAAAGAUCUAACUGUCAAACUUUUUUGUAUAUACUUCGAGAUCGCAUACGCCAAAAAUCACAAAAAAUAAACAUUCAGAGAUCAAGUAAAGGGACACAAUUUUUUGAUGGUUAUAAACGAAAAAUCAUGAUUUAACGGUUAUUUUAACUCUGAUUUUGGUGAUUUUUUAUAGCAACACUCCUUGAUCCUAUAUGAAUACAAUGAAUGAAUUUGAUCUUCAAUUUAUAAUAUUUACACUAGUGGAUACCACAAAAUCUUAUGUUAUACUUAAUGAAGUAUAAAUAAGUGCUAGCGAAUCUAUCAUUUUGAUAGGGUAUGCAUUGUACGAAACUAAUUUCAACGAUCCAACCGUCAAACUCUUUUGUAUAUACUUCAAGAUCGCAUACGCCUAAAAUCGCAAAAAACAAAGAUUCAGAUCAAGUAACAGGACAAAACUUUUCGAUGGUUAUAAACAAAAAUCACGAUUUAACGAUAGUUUUAACUCCGAUUUUGAUGAUUUUUUUUAUAGAUACACUCCUUGAUCCUAUAUGAAUACAAAGAAUGAAUUCGAUCUUCAAUUUAUAAUAUUUACACUAGUGAAUACCACAAAAUCUUAUGUUAUACUUAAGUGUUAGUGAAUCUAUCAUUUUGGGGUACGCAUUGUAUGAAAACUAAUUUCAACGAUCCAACCGUUAAACCUUUUUGUAUAUACUUCGAGAUCGUGUACGCCUAAAAUCGUAAAAAACAAACAUUCAAUGAUCAAGUAAUGAGACAACUUUUCGAUAGUUAUGACAAAAAUCCGAUUAACAGUAGUUUUACUCCGAUUUUGAUAAUGUUAUAUAGUAACCCUUGAUCCUUAUGCUCACAUUAAUAAAUACUUUAUUUAUAAAAAUUAAGUUUAGUGAUGUAAAUCAUCCCAACACAUGACACACUUUAAAUGGGAUGUAACGCUCACGGAUCGGCUAGUGGUUUCAACAUUGUAGUUCAUUUUUAUGGAAGACGAAAAGACUUAUAAAGAUAUUUCAGUAUUUUUAGGCUAUCAUCAUGUGAUUCACUGAUGCCAAAAAUCAAACUCAAAACAUGCCGUGUAAAAUACAAGCUUGAAACUCCAACUUAACCACUGAGCCAAAAGAAAAAUGAGGAUUCUGGAGAUCCUCAAAUCGUGUUCGUUCAUCGUACAUCGUGCAGCCAGAAAUCAUAUUAAAUAUUGUUAUUUAAAAUUAAACAUAAACAAUACCUGACGAAAAUUGACCACACAAUGUAUGAUAAACGGACACAAUUUAAGAAUUUCCAAAAUCCUCACAAAGAGGAUUAGAAGAAGAUCCUCAUUCCCAAAAGAAAAUAGCUAAAUAAUAACUUAUAUGGUUGUCGUGUAUGCAUAUUCACGCACCGUACUUCAAACGGCUAUCGAUGACUUGGAAUCUCCACCCUAACCCCACAGCACAGCAGACAAGAACUAUUUCAUUCCGAAUUAAGACCUAAGAAUCUUCGCAAUUCUGGAAUGAAUCAAUGGACAAAUUGGUUAAGGAGUCAUUAUCAAUAUCAAAUUGAUGUAUCUCAAAUUAAAUGGACUAGAGUAGUACCACAAAAAUGGCGAAAUAUAUUGAACUGUAUAGCUCAAAAUAAAGAUUUAUAUAAUCCAUGAAUAUUGAUAUGUAUAUUCCAUAAAAAAAAAUUAAAAAAUUUAUCUUAAUUAAUUGUUUCUGAGUCACUGGUUUCUUAUUUCUUUUCUUUUGAAAGGGGUCGGGUUAAUAAAAAAAAUUAAGAUAUAUAAAAUAAAACUUAAAUAGAAUUUUCUCUUUACAAUGGGAUUUUAGGGAGACCUUGGCUAAUAAAGCUAGAUACUGUCACUUCCGUCAAGUACCAAAAAAAUCUGAUUCCGCAUCCCCGGGAAGAGGAGUAAGAGAAAUCAAGUUUGACUAGGCCGCAUCUCGACGAUGAACUGUGCAAGUAUUAUAGGAAUAAAAGGGGAAGACGAAACAUAAAUUGUGGAUCAACUAAGCCCUCUCGGGACUUGUUUAAGAAUAAGAAAGAGGAAUCUCAUGUAAAUACCAUGGUAUAGGGUUUGAUCCUAUUCAUGGGGAUUCCGUAAAAAUUCCAUUCCAAAGAGAGUAAGUUCGAAAGAAUUGGGAUUUUUUGGAGAUUGGAUGCAGUUACUAAUUUCAUGAUCUGGCAUGUACAAAAUGAAAACUUCAUUCUCUAUUCUACGAGAAUUUCAAGGAAUCUGUCCUUAAAUUAUCACAAAUGAUCUCUGAAAUUGAUCUACACAAUCAAGACAGUUCCUGAAAUUGAAAAUCGAUCAAUGUAGUCCCUGAAAAUGCAUGUCACAAAUCAAUGUGGUCAUUCCGUCAUAAUUUCGUUAAAAAUUCUGUUAAAUGCUGAUGUGGCACAUAAAUGAGUCCUACAAAUUUAAUUAAAUAUUAUUAUGUGAAUAAAAAACAAUUGUUAUUUUUUAUAAUUAAAAUCUUAAAAAAAAAAGAAAAAGAAGGAGAUGAUUUCAUGAUCUUCUUCACCUCCCAUCCUCCCACUACAGCCCCCACCCCACCCCUCCCUCUCUCCCAUGAAUGAGGAUAUAGUUAAAAAAAGGAAGGUUUAAUAAAACACUUCUGGUACGGUUCACUUUUAACGAAAAAUCACAUUUUUUACCUUUAACUGUCGUUAUUUACUAUACCUUUAAAAAUUACUUUUCGUGAAAAGGUAAUUUUUUUUAAACUUUUCGUUAGUUUUCCUUUAAAAAUAUCCUUCAACUUGAACUAGUGAAGUGACAGAAAAAUUGAAAAGUCAUUUACCUGGAGCUUUGUCAAUAUGUGUGCAAUAAUAUCAUCUCUGGCUAAACCAAGGACUCGGCAAGCAAGUGCACGGAGACAGUCCAGUGCUGCAGGAGGAGAAUAUAUGCAUGGGUGGAGGAGAUGCAGAAGAACCUUUACACCAUUGUUGGCGUUAACAGAUUCCCUUGCUUGGCGGUAGCCUUGCUCCAAUUGUGCAGCCAUGCCUGCACAACCUGCCCCAACUCCUAAAGAUAUUCGGCGAUAGCCUUGCUCUAACUGGGUUUGUUGAAGCUGCAACUUCGUGGGAGAGAGGGAGGGGUGGGGUGGGGGCUGUAGUGGGAGGUGUUAGUAUGUAAGUUGUUAAGCUGAUUAGUAAACAUUACAAGAUUGUUAUGUGUGUCAUGUCUCAGCUCAUAGGCUGAGCUAUUGUGUAAAAUUGUGAUGUGUUGAUUAAGUCUCAUAGGGCUUAUCAUUUGACAAGUGUCUUGAUCUUAAGAUAGGUUGUAAUGGUUGGUUGAGAUUGAAUUGAGGUUAUAUCUCUCUCUCUCUCAUCUUUGUCAUCAGUUAAAUGUCUCUUCGGGUUGUUAUGCCCAGUAUGCAAUACAAUGAUAGAAGUUGAAAGGUUAUGCUCUGUGUUUGUGCUUUCUCUCUGAUUUCAUCUUCUAAAUCCUUACAAACAUUUCUCUCAAAUACUGUUAGACUUAGUUAUAUAGUUGUGUAGCUGGAUUCCAACAGGAGGGUGGUUAAGGGAAGAAGAUGAUGAACAGUGUUCAAUCAUCUGCUUCAUCUUUUUUUAUUUUUAUUUUUAAAAUUUUAAUUAAAAAGAUAACAAUUGUUUUUAUUAUUUAAAUAUUUUUAUUUAAAUAUUUAAUUAAAUUUGUGGAUAUGUUACAUCAGCAUUUAACAUAAUUUUUAAUUGAAUUAUGACGGAAUGACAUAUUGAUUUGUGACAACCAUUUUCAAGGAUUAUAUUGAUCAAUUUCAUAAACUAUCUUGAUUGAGUGAAUUAAUUUCAUAGACCAUUUAUCAUAAAAACCCAAUCCAAAAUAUACGUCCACACCCCUGCAUUGNNNNNNNNNNNNNNNNNNNNNNNNNNNNNNNNNNNNNNNNNNNNNNNNNNNNNNNNNNNNNNNNNNNNNNNNNNNNNNNNNNNNNNNNNNNNNNNNNNNNNNNNNNNNNNNNNNNNNNNNNNNNNNNNNNNNNNNNNNNNNNNNNNNNNNNNNNNNNNNNNNNNNNNNNNNNNNNNNNNNNNNNNNNNNNNNNNNNNNNNNNNNNNNNNNNNNNNNNNNNNNNNNNNNNNNNNNNNNNNNNNNNNNNNNNNNNNNNNNNNNNNNNNNNNNNNNNNNNNNNNNNNNNNNNNNNNNNNNNNNNNNNNNNNNNNNNNNNNNNNNNNNNNNNNNNNNNNNNNNNNNNNNNNNNNNNNNNNNNNNNNNNNNNNNNNNNNNNNNNNNNNNNNNNNNNNNNNNNNNNNNNNNNNNNNNNNNNNNNNNNNNNNNNNNNNNNNNNNNNNNNNNNNNNNNNNNNNNNNNNNNNNNNNNNNNNNNNNNNNNNNNNNNNNNNNNNNNNNNNNAUAUAUAUGUUUAUAUAUAUGCUAUUUUCUGGGAAAGUAUACAGGUUUUACGGUGAGGGGUUAGAAAUAUUUUAAAUGAAAAGUUUUCGAAAAACUUUGUUUUACUGACCCACUCAAUUUUGUUUUGCGCCCCUCCAGGUUCAAGUUAGCAGAGCUUUGGUGGCCACGAGGAAUCCAACGGUGUUCUGACAGAAUUCACAAAAGUAGGACUCACCCUCGGGUGUGUCAUCUUAGUAAUUGGAAAUUUUUUUUAAAGCUUCUGAACUAUGUAAAUGGUUACGUCACUCUCACGUGACGGCCAGCACGCCCUCCUUCGGGACGGGGUGUGUCAUUAAGUCUAGUUGUUAUAAUGCUCAUCCGACUAUUAACUGAGCCUUUGCUUUGAAUUCGGUAUUAAGCCAAGUUUAGCAUUUUAAUAGUAUAAUUAUAAUAAUAAAGUACCUUGAAUAUGGAAGUCAUCAACAACUAAAGCACACACUUGUUUAAUUUGUAUGAACACUGUAUAUUAUUGUUUUUGUAGACCCUGUCAACCACAACCAGUAAGAAUAUAUUAUCCUAGACACCUAACUAUAACUAGCAUAAAAAGAAGAUUAGCCUAUAUUUCUAACUAUAACUAGC
rnacentral:lncRNA from 1 species